rnacentral:tRNA from 1 species
GCGUCCCUGGAUCAGGCGAGCCAGCAUGCUCUUGCCAUCCGAGAAGACGCGUCGCGCCGAUUCGCCGACGAUCUCGUCGUUGAGGAUGUCC